CGUUCCCAGGCCUUGUACCACACCGCCCGUCACAUCAUGAAAGCCGGUUGUACCCGAAGUCGUCCCUUAAAAGAUGCCGAAGGUAUGGCUGGUGGAUUGGGAUG
rnacentral:rRNA from 1 species